ACUCUCAUUACUCCACUCCUCUGUUAAAGAAAGGGAAAGUUGUGUGGUUUAUUGGGUCAACCAUGGCUCCUUCUGGGAAGGCUUCUGCGUUCUACCGCGAGGGAAACGACUGGUCAUUUGUAAGCUAUAGCUCAUUAACGGGCCUUUGGGCAAUCUCACCCUAUGAAAUUUUAAGGGUCAAAUCUUCAUUUCCAGGCCAGUCUUUGCCAAGAAUGUUUGAGUAAUCGACCAACCUUUUGAGAGCUGAUUCCAGAAAGCUUCCAACGGCUAUUUUUCCAAAUCCCAACGGCUCUAAACGGCUAUAUUUCUCUUGAACUUUGUGGGACACUUAUAUAUACAUGUUAUGGAUGAUCAAGAGAAGGAAAAUGGACGGGAACGAAUUGAAUUGAGCUUACAUUUUAUAUUCAUUUGUAUUUACAAUGUUCUGUGCUUUCAUUAUUAUACUUUUCUCUCUAAGGCUUCGUUCUAUUAUUGUUAAUACAUUCAUUUAAGCCUUGUUAAAUCUUGAGAGACAUUGUAACUAAGAGAUUCAUCUCUUAGAUUCUCUCUUAUUCUAUAUUUCUUAUGCUUCCUAGUUUGUGUAGCUAGAGGGCCCAUUUUGAGUGGAAGGUUUUGUAUUUCCUAGCUAGGUGCUAGAGGGCUUGCUUGUAUAAGUAAGAGGUUGUAAUUCCUAGUCUUGGACUAGAGGAUCUACUUGGUUUAAGUAGGGAGUUUUAGUGGAUAGUUUGAAAAAUCCUUAGUGAGGAGCUAAGGUAGUGGAUUAGGCUUGGUUAAGCCGAACUACUAUAAAUCCUUGUGUUUUCUUAUGCUUGUAUUCUUUGAUAUAUUUAUCUUUUCAAACAUUUCAU